CCUACGGGCUGCAGCAGUGGGGAAUAUUGCACAAUGGGCGCAAGCCUGAUGCAGCCAUGCCGCGUGUAUGAAGAAGGCCUUCGGGUUGUAAAGUACUUUCAGUCGGGAGGAAGGUGGUGAGCUGAAUACGCUCAUCAAUUGACGUUACCGACAGAAGAAGCGCCGGCUAACUCCGUGCCAGCAGCCGCGGUAAUACGGAGGGUGCAAGCGCUAAUCGGAAUUACUGGGCGUAAAGCGCACGCAGGCGGUUGAUUGAGUCAGAUGUGAAAUCCCCGGGCUGAACCCGGGAAUUGCAUCUGAUACUGGUCAGCUAGAGUCUUGUAGAGGGGGGUAGAAUUCCAGGUGUAGCGGUGAAAUGCGUAGAGUUCUGGAGGAAUACUGGUGGCGAAGGCGGCCCCCUGGACAAAGACUGACGCUCAGGUGCGAAAGCGUGGGGAGCAAACAGGAUUAGAUACCCCGGUAGUC
rnacentral:rRNA from 1 species